AUUGAACGCUGGCGGCAUGCUUUACACAUGCAAGUCGAACGGCAGCGCGGGCUUCGGCCUGGCGGCGAGUUGCGAACGGGUGAGUAAUGCAUCGGAACGUGCCCAGUAGUGGGGGAUAGCCCGGCGAAAGCCGGAUUAAUACCGCAUACGACCUGAGGGUGAAAGCGGGGGACCGAAAGGCCUCGCGCUAUUUGAGCGGCCGAUGUCGGAUUAGCUAGUUGGUGGGGUAAAGGCUUACCAAGGCGACGAUCCGUAGCUGGUCUGAGAGGACGACCAGCCACACUGGGACUGAGACACGGCCCAGACUCCUACGGGAGGCAGCAGUGGGGAAUUUUGGACAAUGGGGGCAACCCUGAUCCAGCCAUGCCGCGUGCGGGAAGAAGGCCUUCGGGUUGUAAACCGCUUUUGUUCGGGAAGAAAUCCUCUGGGCUAAUACCCCGGGGGGAUGACGGUACCGGAAGAAUAAGCACCGGCUAACUACGUG
rnacentral:rRNA from 1 species